rnacentral:misc_RNA from 1 species
UGAAAGAAGAUAAUGGCCAAAAACAUCUGGGAUAACUGUCUACAGGCCGUGUAACUGAAGAUCUCUGUCAUUUCUGACAAAAUAAGUGAGUCAAUUUCAGUCUCUGAUGUACUGGAACAGAUCUGCCAUAUGCUACCUUAGUGAAUGAAAACAGUUAAAAUACUUCAUGUAAGCAACUUCAGACCUCAAGAGGAAGACGGCGACACAGAGAGGAAAGGAGGGAGAGUAGCCCCAAGAUGGGUUCCUCUUUAUUCACG